AGAGUUUGAUCCUGGCUCAGAUGAACGCUGGCGGCAGGCCUAACACAUGCAAGUCGAGCGGAUGAAGGGAGCUUGCUCCUGGAUUCAGCGGCGGACGGGUGAGUAAUGCCUAGGAAUCUGCCUGGUAGUGGGGGAUAACGUCCGGAAACGGGCGCUAAUACCGCAUACGUCCUGAGGGAGAAAGUGGGGGAUCUUCGGACCUCACGCUAUCAGAUGAGCCUAGGUCGGAUUAGCUAGUUGGUGGGGUAAAGGCCUACCAAGGCGACGAUCCGUAACUGGUCUGAGAGGAUGAUCAGUCACACUGGAACUGAGACACGGUCCAGACUCCUACGGGAGGCAGCAGUGGGGAAUAUUGGACAAUGGGCGAAAGCCUGAUCCAGCCAUGCCGCGUGUGUGAAGAAGGUCUUCGGAUUGUAAAGCACUUUAAGUUGGGAGGAAGGGCAGUAAGUUAAUACCUUGCUGUUUUGACGUUACCAACAGAAUAAGCACCGGCUAACUUCGUGCCAGCAGCCGCGGU
rnacentral:rRNA from 1 species